rnacentral:rRNA from 1 species
CCUACGGGAGGCUGCAGUGAGGAAUAUUGGUCAAUGGGCGGGAGCCUGAACCAGCCAUGCCGCGUGAAGGUCAGUGCCCUAUGGGCGUUAAAAUUCUUUUGUGCGGGAGCAAUAAUGGUCACGUGUGGCCAGACGAGAGUACCGUUCGAAUAAGCAUCGGCUAACUCCGUGCCCGCGGCCGCGGGAAUAAGGAGGGUGCGCGCGUUAAUCGGAAUUACUUGGCGUAAAGCGCUCGUAGGCGGGAUGUCAAGUCAAGUGGGAAAUCCCCGCGGCCACAGCGGGAACUGCCGUUGAAACUGGCAAACUGGAGUGUGUGAGAGGAGAGCGGAAUGCGAGGUGUAGGAGUGAAAUGCGUAGAUAUCUGGAAGAACAUCAGUGGCGAAGGCGACUAUCUGGCACAUAACUGACGCUGAGGAGCGAAAGCGUGGGUAUCAAACAGGAUUAGAUACCCGAGUAGUC